UACAGAGGGUGCGAGCGUUAAUCGGAAUUACUGGGCGUAAAGCGUGCGUAGACGGUUAUUUAAGUCGAUUGUGAAAGCCCUGGGCUUAACCUGGGAAUUGCAGUCGAAACUACUCGGCUAGAGUAUGGGAGAGGACAGUGGAAUUCCCGGUGUAGCGGUGAAAUGCGUAGAUAUCGGGAGGAACAUCAGUGGCGAAGGCGGCUGUCUGGCCCAAUACUGACACUCAGGUGCGACAGCGUGGGGAGCAAACAGG
rnacentral:rRNA from 1 species